rnacentral:rRNA from 1 species
CCUACGGGAGGCUGCAGUGGGGAAUAUUGCACAAUGGGCGCAAGCCUGAUGCAGCCAUGCCGCGUGUGUGAAGAAGGCCUUCGGGUUGUAAAGCACUUUCAGCGGGGAGGAAGGCGUUAAGGUUAAUAACCUUGUCGAUUGACGUUACCCGCAGAAGAAGCACCGGCUAACUCCGUGCCAGCAGCCGCGGUAAUACGGAGGGUGCAAGCGUUAAUCGGAAUUACUGGGCGUAAAGCGCACGCAGGCGGUCUGUCAAGUCGGAUGUGAAAUCCCCGGGCUCAACCUGGGAACUGCAUUCGAAACUGGCAGGCUAGAGUCUUGUAGAGGGGGGUAGAAUUCCAGGUGGAGCGGUGAAAUGCGUAGAGAUCUGGAGGAAUACCGGUGGCGAAGGCGGCCCCCUGGACAAAGACUGACGCUCAGGUGCGAAAGCGUGGGGAGCAAACAGGAUUAGAUACCCGUGUAGUC